rnacentral:rRNA from 1 species
AUUGAACGCUGGCGGCAGGCCUAACACAUGCAAGUCGAACGAGUGGCGGACGGGUGAGUAAUGUCUGGGAAACUGCCCGAUGGAGGGGGAUAACUACUGGAAACGGUAGCUAAUACCGCAUACCAUCGCAUCGGCCGGGAUGGGAUUAGCGAGUUGGUGGGGUAAAGGCGCACCAAGGCGACGAUCCGUAGCUGGUCUGAGAGGAUGACCAGCCACACUGGAACUGAGACACGGUCCAGACUCCUACGGGAGGCAGCAGUGGGGAAGAGUGGACAAUGGGCGAAAGCCUGAUGCAGCCAUGCCGCGUGUAUGAAGAAGGCCUUCGGGUUGUAAAGUACUUUAAGCGAGGAGGCGUUACCCGCAGAAGAAGCACCGGCUAACUCCGUGCCAGCAGCCGCGGUAAUUC